AGAUUGAACGCUGGCGGCAUGCUUUACACAUGCAAGUCGAACGGUAACAGGCCGCAAGGUGCUGACGAGUGGCGAACGGGUGAGUAAUGCAUCGGAACGUGCCCAGUCGUGGGGGAUAACGCAGCGAAAGCUGUGCUAAUACCGCAUACGAUCUAUGGAUGAAAGCGGGGGACCGAAAGGCCUCGCGCGAUUGGAACGGCCGAUGUCAGAUUAGCUAGUUGGUGGGGUAAAGGCCCACCAAGGCGACGAUCUGUAGCUGGUCUGAGAGGACGACCAGCCGCACUGGAACUGAGACACGGUCCAGACUCCGUAACGGGAGGCAGCAGUGGGGGAAUUUGGACAAGUGGGCGCAAGCCUGACUCCAGCAAUGCCGGCGUGGCAAGGAAGAACGGCC
rnacentral:rRNA from 1 species